rnacentral:rRNA from 1 species
GAUGAACGCUGGCGGCGUGCCUAAUACAUGCAAGUCGAGCGAAUGGAUUAAGAGCUUGCUCUUAUGAAGUUAGCGGCGGACGGGUGAGUAACACGUGGGUAACCUGCCCAUAAGACUGGGAUAACUCCGGGAAACCGGGGCCAAUACCGGAUAACAUUUUGAACCGCAUGGUUCGAAAUUGAAAGGCGGCUUCGGCUGUCACUUAUGGAUGGACCCGCGUCGCAUUAGCUAGUUGGUGAGGUAACGGCUCACCAAGGCAACGAUGCGUAGCCGACCUGAGAGGGUGAUCGGCCACACUGGGACUGAGCCACGGCCCAGACUCCUACGGGAGGCAGCAGUAGGGAAUCUUCCGCAAUGGACGAAAGUCUGACGGAGCAACGCCGCGUGAGUGAUGAAGGCUUUCGGGUCGUAAAACUCUGUUGUUAGGGAAGAACAAGUGCUAGUUGAAUAAGCUGGCACCUUGACGGUACCUAACCAGAAAGCCACGGCUAACUACGUGCCAGCCGCCGCGGUAA